rnacentral:lncRNA from 12 species
GGGGGGGGGGGGGGGGGGGGGGGGGGGGGGGGGGGGCUCCCCCUCAGCCGGGGCUGCUCCCCCUCAGCGCUCCCGGCUCUGCGCCCCUCAAGUGUCCAAGCAGGCGGAUCAGUGAGAGUCUGUGGGAAGGAGAGCGAUUAAAGACCAGAGGCAGCAGCGGUUGAGAGAUGGAGGAGCUGCGUCGCGGACCCCUUGCUGUGGCUAUACCAAACUCAACCUGCGCAGCCUGUACCUGGUGAGAAGCUGCACAGCCCUGGCCAGCUGCUUGUUCAGGCAAUAAGGUUGUCCAAAAUGAUCUAUACAACCUCAUAUUUACCCCUGAGCAAGAAUUCUCAGCCAGGCAAUACCUACAGCAAGAUUCCUGAAGUAGCAGAGAGCAGAAAAUGAGACAUAUGGCUCCAGAGAGAAGGCACUGGCUGCCAGCACAGACUUCCACAUCAGCAACAGGAGAGCCCUAUGGGAUGCGUCUGGACUCCCAGGAGGGGACCUGGCUUCAGGCUUUCAGCUGCAGACUCCAGGUGUAAAAUAGGGAGCUGGAAGAGGCGCUUCCCUCCCGCAUUUUGGGCGGGCAGGAGGGGAGGUGGUCCAGCCGCACAAUGACAGAUUAUGCAAAUCCGCGCGGAGCACGGAAUCCAUCAGGGCGCUGGGAGAGGCAUGCAGCUCAUCUCCGAAUUAGCCUCUUCCUUGGCGUCCUCGCCAAGCAUCCCCCCCUCGGCUGAAUGACAUCAGAGCAGCUCCCAGUCCUUGAAAGUCUGCGGGUUGCUGAGCGGCAGGAAUCGGCCGCUGGUGCCAGUCUCGGGGGGGGGGGGGGGGGGGGGGGGGGGGGGGGGGGGGGGGGGGGGGGGGGGGGGGG